UUGUUGUGAGAAUAAAUAAAUUGUAAUGGAAGCCAUGAAUUAUUUGCUUGAAGAAAACAGCCUAGCAAUUCUUCCAUUAUUCAGAAGACUUUGAAAAGCACCUAUGGGAAGACAGUGGUGUCUUCCUGUCUCCAGGGUUCUUGAACUGAUUUUUAAAGUGUCCAUCUCUUGAAAGACCAGUUAAAAAAUUAGUCUGAAAGAAAGCAUUGAAAGAUAAGUGUGGAAACCAGUACUUUGUCUCUACGUUGAUUCUUUCUCCCCGAGCCCAUGGAGGGAUCCUUGUGUUACCUCGUAGGGGCCAGGUGUCCUUCAGCGGAGCAGAAAAUGACGUCUAAGGCAUGAAGCGGCUGUCAUUGAGGCCUCACUUCAAUGGAGCACGGAGGAUGUCGUGGACAGGGGAGGUGGUAUCCUCUUGGAAGUGGAGGCUGACUUCUCUUAGAAGAGUUAGCAUGGAUCCCAAGAUCCCAAGAAGAUUGCAGGGCUGGGCUUGGGCCCCCGGUCUCCCUCUGUCUGGAUGGAGACCUCUGUGUAGUUUCAUCAUGGCGAGAGGACGAGCCGUAUCUCCUAGACUCUGCGUAACCACAACCUCUGUAACUCGAGAGUCAAUCCUGACAAUAGAGCAUCAGCCUUUCGCAUUCAGAGCGUGGCACCUCUUUUCCGCAUGUGCUUUUUUUCUUGCAUUUUUUUGUUCCCUGCAAAACUUCCUGCAGCCAAAGAUUGAUGUGCCUGGGUGA
rnacentral:lncRNA from 1 species